UACGUAGGGGGCAAGCGUUGUCCGGAUUUAUUGGGCGUAAAGAGCGUGUAGGCGGUCAGGUAUGUCCGUUGUGAAAACUCGAGGCUCAACCUCGAGACGCCGAUGGAAACCAUCUGACUAGAGUCCGGAAGAGGAGAGUGGAAUUCCUGGUGUAGCGGUGAAAUGCGCAGAUAUCAGGAAGAACACCCGUGGCUAAGGCGGCUCUCUAGUACGGUACUGACGCUGAGACGCGAAAGCGUGGGGAGCGAACAGG
rnacentral:rRNA from 1 species